rnacentral:rRNA from 1 species
AACGAACGCUGGCGGCAUGCCUAACACAUGCAAGUCGAACGAUACCUUCGGGUCUAGUGGCGCACGGGUGCGUAACGCGUGGGAACCUGCCCUUAGGUUCGGAAUAACUCCCCGAAAGGGGUGCUAAUACCGGAUAAUGUCUUCGGACCAAAGAUUUAUCGCCUUUGGAUGGGCCCGCGUUGGAUUAGCUAGUUGGUAGGGUAAAAGCCUACCAAGGCGACGAUCCAUAGCUGGUCUGAGAGGAUGAUCAGCCACACUGGGACUGAGACACGGCCCAGACUCCUACGGGAGGCAGCAGUGGGGAAUAUUGGACAAUGGGCGAAAGCCUGAUCCAGCAAUGCCGCGUGAGUGAUGAAGGACUUAGGGUUGUAAAGCUCUUUUACCCGGGAUGAUAAUGACAGUACCGGGAGAAUAAGCUCCGGCUAACUCCGUG